rnacentral:rRNA from 1 species
GACGUAGGGCGCGAGCGUUGUCCGGAUUUAUUGGGCGUAAAGAGCUCGUAGGCGGCUUGUCGCGUCGAAUGUGAAAUCUCGGGGCUCAACUCCGAGCUUGCAUUCGAUACGGGCAGGCUAGAGUUCGGUAGGGGAGACUGGAAUUCCUGGUGUAGCGGUGAAAUGCGCAGAUAUCAGGAGGAACACCGGUGGCGAAGGCGGGUCUCUGGGCCGAUACUGACGCUGAGGCGCGAAAGCUAGGGGAGCAAACAGG